rnacentral:tRNA from 1 species
UAAGAUUUAGUUUAUAUAUAUAAAAACAUUAAUUUGUCAAAUUAAAGAAGAAUAUCUUAG